GACGAACGCUGGCGGCGUGCUUAACACAUGCAAGUCGAACGGAAAGGCCCUGCUUUUGUGGGGUGCUCGAGUGGCGAACGGGUGAGUAACACGUGAGUAACCUGCCCUUGACUUUGGGAUAACUUCAGGAAACUGGGGCUAAUACCGGAUAGGAGCUCCUGCUGCAUGGUGGGGGUUGGAAAGUUUCGGCGGUUGGGGAUGGACUCGCGGCUUAUCAGCUUGUUGGUGGGGUAGUGGCUUACCAAGGCUUUGACGGGUAGCCGGCCUGAGAGGGUGACCGGCCACAUUGGGACUGAGAUACGGCGCAGUCGCCUACGGUGGGCAGCAGUGGAGAAUAUUGCACAAUGGGCGGAAGCCUGAUGCAGCAACGCCGCGUGCGGGAUGACGGCCUUCGGGUUGUAAACCGCUUUCGCCUGUGACGAAGCGUGAGUGACGGUAAUGGGUAAAGAAGCACCGGCUAACUACGUG
rnacentral:rRNA from 1 species